AGCAGUGUGGCCUAGUGGAAAGCACUGGCCUGGGAGUCAGAGAACCUGGGUUCUAAUCCUGGCUCCGCCA
rnacentral:tRNA from 1 species